AAUAAGAAAUUCAUAAGGGCGUAUGGUGGAUGCCUUGACUCUAAAAGGCGAUGAAGGACGUGGCAUGUCUGCGAUAAGCUUCGGGUAGGUGACUAGCAACCUGUGAUCCGGAGAUUUCCGAAUGGGGGAACCCAAUCUGUUGAACACAGAUUACCUUGUAUCUGUAAAGGAUACUCGGAGUGCACCUGGGGAAGUGAAACAUCUCAGUACCCAGAGGAAAAGAAAACAAUGUCUAUUUAUUUAGAUAAUAUUUCGUAAGUAGCGGCGAGCGAAAGCGAAAGAGCCCAAACCAGCACAUCACAUGGCAUGUGAUGUGAGUAUAAAGUUUAUAAAGUUUAUAAAGUCAAAAGUUUUUAACUUGCGACUUUUAACUUUUUACUUUUAACUCGCACAUCAUAUUUCAUGUGAUGUGCUGGGGUUGUAGGACAACAGUGUCAUUCUUGUAAUGAAAAAAGUCAAAAAAUAUUUUGUUAGUUGAAUCUGCUGGGAAGCAGGACCCUAGAGGGUAAUAGUCCCGUAAACGAAAACAAUCUAUCUUUUUUAUUGUUGUUCCUGAGUACCUCAAGACACGAAUGGCUUGGGGGAAUCUGCCGGAACUAACCGGUAAGGCUAAAUACUUUUAGAGAUCGAUAGUGAACAAGUACCGUGAGGGAAAGGUGAAAA
rnacentral:rRNA from 1 species